CAGUGGGUCUUUGGGCCUUCACUGUCUGUCAGUCUCUCUCCAGCCUCCUCCCCUCUUUCUCCCAUCGCCCUGGUUUCUGCCCCGCAGGCUGCAGCUAGGACCCAAGCUGAGCAGCAAGGAAUGUUCCAGGCAGGGUGCUGGGCUGCGGUCAGGGGAGCUGGGCUCAUCCUGCUGGAGGGGCCCCCCGGAAACCAGCGUGACUGGGGAGAGCACUGCAGUGGCUGGUCUUGGCUGUGACUGCGCAUGUGCUUCUAAAAUGGUGCUAAAAUCCACGCAGGCACGGGAAGGCUGCCCUGAGAACAUCCUACCAGGGAGUGGAGGCUUCUUGCAUGGAAGGCCCUAAGCCUGCUCAGCUGAGCCUCCCGAGAGCUGCUUUAAUUGGGGGAGAGGCUGUGGGUGCUGGCAGGACCACCAUGUGCGUGACUUCCCCGGGGACCACUGUGCUCCUUGUGGACAUGCACUAGAGUUGAUCAGCAUCUCCCUCUCAGGACCCAGCCCUGCCCACCCCUCCCCCUAAAGGCAGCAGGAACAUCCCCAGUUAAUCAUGAGGGGACAUCAGGGCUGGCCCAACCUGACCUCCCCUGUUUUAGGCCUCCUGAGGAAAGUAUGAGGACACAGGAACCUCAGGGUCCUUGUCCUGCAAACAAGCAGCCCACCCAGCCCAGUAGUGCCUGCCUGUGGGCACUUAGUGGGUCCUGGCACCAAGUAGGGGACACUAUGGGGUCCCAGACCAUCGGGGAUUUUGCCUAAGCCCUGGACCCCACAGCCUCAGUGGAGCACCGUGUUUCAAGAUGAGGUUAUAUGGAUUUUUCAUGUAUGUAUAAUAAUCAGAGAAAAAACACACACAAAGGAAGGAAAAGAAGGAAAUUCCAUGCAGCGCUUUCUUGGAAUAUGUUAAGGGGGAAGAAUUACAAGUUACUUGUGUGGGCAUGUUUUACUAUUCCUAUUUCUCAAUAAAUAUAAUGGCUUUUAUUGCAUUUUAAA